rnacentral:rRNA from 1 species
AUUGAACGCUGGCGGCAGGCUUAACACAUGCAAGUCGAGCGAGUGGCGGACGGGUGAGUAAUGUCUGGGAAACUGCCUGAUGGAGGGGGAUAACUACUGGAAACUGUAGCUAAUACCGCAUACCAUCAGAUGUGCCCAGAUGGGAUUAGCUAGUUGGUGGGGUAAUGGCUCACCUAGGCGACGAUCCCUAGCUGGUCUGAGAGGAUGAACAGCCACACUGGAACUGAGACACGGUCCAGACUCCUACGGGAGGCAGCAGUGGGGAAUAUUGCACAAUGGGCGCAAGCCUGAUGCAGCCAUGCCGCGUGUGUGAAGAAGGCCUUCGGGUUGUAAAGCACUUUUAGCGAGGAAGCGUUACUCAAAGAAGAAGCACCGGCUAACUCCGUGCCAGCCGCCGCGGUAAUAC